rnacentral:rRNA from 1 species
AGUGAACGCUGGCGGUAGGCCUAACACAUGCAAGUCGAACGGCAGCACAGUAAGAGCUUGCUCUUACGGGUGGCGAGUGGCGGACGGGUGAGGAAUACAUCGGAAUCUACUUUUUCGUGGGGGAUAACGUAGGGAAACUUACGCUAAUACCGCAUACGCCCUACGGGUGAAAGCAGGGGAUCUUCGGACCUUGCGCGAUUGAAUGAGCCGAUGUCGGAUUAGCUAGUUGGCGGGGUAAAGGCCCACCAAGGCGACGAUCCGUAGCUGGUCUGAGAGGAUGAUCAGCCACACUGGAACUGAGACACGGUCCAGACUCCUAAGGGAGGCAGCAGUGGGGAAUAUUGGACAAUGGGCGCAAGCCUGAUCCAGCCAGACCGCGUGGGUGAAGAAGGCCUUCGGGUUGUAAAGCCCUUUUGUUGGGAAAGAAAAGCAGCAGGUUAAUACCCCGCUGUUCUGACGGUACCCAAAGAAUAAGCACCGGCUAACUUCGUG